rnacentral:rRNA from 1 species
UGGGGAAUCUUCCGCAAUGGACGAAAGUCUGACGGAGCAACGCCGCGUGAGUGAAGACGGCCUUCGGGUUGUAAAGCUCUGUUAUUCGGGAAGAACGAUUCGUUUGUGAACAAUGAACGGAAGUGACGGUACCGAAAGAGAAAGCCACGGCUAACUACGUGCCAGCAGCCGCGGUAAUACGUAGGUGGCAAGCGUUGUCCGGAAUUAUUGGGCGUAAAGAGCGCGUAGGCGGUAUGGUAAGUCUGUCUUAGAAGUGCGGGGCUUAACCCCGUGAGGGGACAGAGACUGUCAUACUGGAGUUUCGGAGAGGAAAGCGGAAUUCCUAGUGUAGCGGUGAAAUGCGUAGAGAUUAGGAAGAACACCGGUGGCGAAGGCGGCUUUCUGGACGAGCACUGACGCUGAGGCGCGAAAGCGUGGGGAGCGAACAGG